rnacentral:lncRNA from 1 species
UCGUCCUUUGUAAUAAUAGCUAAACUACCGAAGCUUACGUAGAUUACAGAUUUCGGGGGCUGGCGGUCAAGCCACAGUAUACAGCUUUUGUCUUCUUCCCGGAAACUGUUGGAAGACUGGGACGUGGAAGUUUCAGAUGCGAGCUUGGAUUUGAGGUGUGCGUGGAGAGGUCCAACGGCGUAGGUUCUCGGAUAGUGAUCGCGUAUUUGAGAGAGAACCGGCCCUUCUAGAUCAUCAAACGUGUUGAUAACGAGCGCGUGGGCUCGCUGGGCCUGUCGAAAAAUUUUCAUUAGAUGUUGGAGACCUGGGUAAGCCACAUCAUUGACUCGGCCCGAACUUGGGAGGUCUCGACGUCGAAGAAAGCCUUCCAUGCCGGGCACACUGACUACUAGCCUAUCCAUAUCAUCACCUGGAAUUUAGUCACAAUCCAGCCAUUUUGUAACCAGAAAAAAUAAUAAUAAUAAUAAUGAUAAUAAAUAAAUAAAUAAAUAAAAAUUGGUAGCCAAUUUGUAAUCAGAAAAAUAAUAAUAAUAAUGAUAAUAAAUAAAAAUUGGUAGCCAAUUUGUAUUCAGAAAAAAAAUAAUAAUAAUAAUAAUGAUAAUAAAUAAAUAAAUAAAAAUUGCAGAAACCAAGAUGAAGGGCGUUUCUAAUGGAAUCCAAACCAGAAAGUGUACCUGUGAUAGGGACUUCGCCAGCUUCAAUGAGUUGGGGGAAAGAGAAAUAUGCCCAGAAGGAACAAGCACUGAUAGCACAGAAAAUAACGAUGGGAAGUCCGACUUCGUUAGCAACAUCAGUUGCAAAACUCAUGAGCUGAUCUGCCAUGAUGCAGGUCAGAGGCGGGCGAGUGUCGGAAGUACUGCGGCACCACGAAAUCAUCAUCUCCAUAAAGAGUGGUGCGGUUGUAGUUUUCACUCCAUCAACAAUAUCCAAGAAUUGUUCAGCGGUGCGAGGAUGCUCCAUCGGCAGCCCAUCGGAAAUUGUCUCAAACCGAAAGCCGGGAUAGCGUGAGAACCUGGCCUGAACAUUGGAGUAAGAGAGGAGGCAGUGGUGGGGGUAGUGGCAGUUUAGGAAGGUGACUUGGAUGCCGGCGAGGCAAAGAAGUUCGGCGAGCUUGAGCAUGGAGUUGACGUUGCCUUGGAGGGGGGAAGGGAGGAUGAGAACAUGAGGAGAGACCGACCGUUGAUCCAUUUGACUACCAACUAUGCACUUUGUGUGAUUUCCUGGUAGAUACAUGGUUUGUAAGCCAUAUAUCUUGAAGGAUAGGCACAUUGCCGACAACUCACUAAUGAAGCAAAUAAUCCCGUUGAAUAAGGAAACAAUCCCAUUGGAUUUUGGAUCUAUCAUAUAAAAAAGUUAAGAUGGUAUCAAAGGAAGUUGUCGGUGGACUGCAUCAAUAAUUCCUAUAAUUGCUCAGUUUAUAUCAAGUAACCAUAUGACAAAACCUCUCAUCAUGUAUGUGUAACACUCAUUUUUUUUUUACUUUAAGAAAAUAUACAGCCCAUUUCAUCAAAUUACUCAAACCAUUUGCACUCACCACUCAUUGAUAAGCCUCUCAUGAGGGAUGGACACGUUGCUACUCUUUGUCGUUUACCACCACCACUUUUUCAAGGGUCCACUAGUGGCCCCUUGAAACCCCUAAUACAGACUUGUAGAUGUAGAUUAAACUUAAUUAUUAUACCUGGUUUCAUUAGUUAAUGGAUUUCCCAAGCUUUAAAGAACACAUCUUAACUAAUUAAUUAACAUUAAUUUAAAAUAUAUGGGUCUGGUUCAUGGUUGUCACUUUUCACUUUAAGAUGACAAACAAAUUCAAUUACCAGCGAUUGAAACAUAAUAACCCAACAACAAGUUUUAAAACUCAAGGAUUUUGAAAGUGAAAAUUGGGAUCACUCAAGAAGGAGAGCAUCAUGUCGGUAACAAGAAGGAUCAUCAAGAAUCAAAUAAACCAACUCAUUUCUAGUUAGAGAAAAUCGACUAUUCCUUUAUUCCACUUAAAAUACACUUACAUAACAAAAUUAAAGGGGAAAUUUUGCAAAACAAAAACACAAGGGAGGACACAAGUCAUUACAUCACAUCCUUUAGAUUGCCUAUACAUGACCAAUCUAUCAAAAACAAUAAUAAGCCAUCAACAUAAUAGCAAAAUAUAAAAGAUUUGACCAGUGACUUAGCCAGAAAUUUCAAUGGCCUUGACCUUAGCCUUCUUCACCUCUUCUUUCGAAACCAUCACAAUUAGCACGCCAUUCUCCAUGCAAGCUUUGACCUCAUCUGUCUUGACAUUUUCUAGCAACCUGAAUCUGCGAAGAAACCUCCCGCUACUCAUUUCCACGCGAUGCCACUUGUCGUUCUUCUCCUCUUGCUCCUUACUCCUCUCUCCACUGAUUUGAAGCACUCUUCCCUCUUCAACCUCUACUUUCUCUUCCUCCUUCCUCAGCCCUGGAAGAUUCGCCUUGAAAAUGUGAGCUUCUGGCGUCUCUUUCCAGUCAAUACGUGUGUUAGCGAAGGCCGAGGUUUCACCAACAAUGCUGGGAAUGUUGGAAAGAGUGGUGCUAAAGGGAAAGCCUUCGAAAGGAUCCUAGAUAUCUAGGGAGAAGGGAUCGAAGAUGCUACUUCGUCGACCACCACCCAGAACCCUUGGAAUGAGCCACAUUUUUUAUGGAUGUUGUUGCAUUGAUAUGCUUUCCUGGACACAAGCUUCUAACAAUUUCUUGAUGAUGAAACUAACGGAGAGGGCCUUGCUAUAUAUUGGAUGUGAGAGAGAAUUGUGGUACUUUCUCAAUGUUUUUGAGAUAUUUCCUAUUUGGAUAGGAAUGAGACGUUUCUGCAAUCUUCUGGCAUCUUCUAGCGUCUAUCGGCCUUUUUUCCUUCUUGGGCUCAGUCCACAAUUCCAGGCCCAUUUCCAAAUGUCCAUACCGUCAUGAGCCUAAUGAGACCAUGGGGCCUUUAACAGCAAAAGGAAUUUAGGGCCAUCGGCUACUUUUAAGGAUUUAUUACUUGUUAGUAGAGAGUAUAUUAAAGCAUCCCAUGAGUGUGGGGACUGAUUUGACACGAACUAGCCGAGAACAUAUCCAAUCCAAAUUCUAUGAGGGUGAGUUAAAUCUAAUCCAAUUUGUAAUCUAAUUCAUUUUUUCAUAACUUUCAACAACUUAAUUUGCAAUUUGAAUUGUAUUUUGAUAUAAAAAAAUGUUAAUCCAAAUUAAAUUUUAUAUUUGUUUUGUACGAGGAAAAAAUUAUCAAAUUUUAUUUUAAUUUUAAUAAUAUGUUUUAUUAAAUAGGAUUUUUAUAUAAUUGUUGAUUUUAAUUAGGAAGUCUUUAUUUGAUUUUAAUAUGAGCGUGUAACAAGAUAAUAUAUUUUAGUAAUAAAUAUUAGAGUUAUACUACAAUGUGUGUUAUUUAAUGGAAAAGUUUGAGAAUCCUUUAAACUUCUUAUUUUAAAGCUUCUAAACAUAUAAAAGACAAAGAAAAUUUAGAACCCUAAAAAUCUAUUAUCUUUCUUCAAAAUUGUUAUCAUUUCUCCCAUGUAGUUUCACUCUAUCUCAAUCCUUCAUUUCAUUGAAUAAUUAAUUUAUCUUUUUUAUACAAAAGAUUGAUUAUAAACUUUUAAAUUUCUAUCUAAGAACAUACUUAAUAAAUUAUUUUUUCUGAUUAUGAUGAAUUGUUUAUUUAUUUGAAUGAUAAUUCUUCUAUAUGCUUGUUAAUUUGAUCAAACUGAUAUUUAAUAAUUUGAUUUUAAUCCAUUUUUAAAAGAAUAAGAUUAAAUUAGACCUGAGCAAAUGAACUUUAAGUAUAAGUUAAUCUCCAGUUGAUUGGUAUCUUAAUCUAAUAUUUACUCAAAUUAAACCCCAAAUUGUAUAGUAUUACUAACUUUGUUCUAAGUCGUUAAAAUGAAAUAUGUAAUCUAUUAAAUUUUCCUAGAAGUUGGUGUGAUUUGAUUUAGUUAGGUUUUUAACUGAUUAAGGAACCGAAUAGAAUUAGUCAAUUUUCAUUAAAUUAUUAUCAAUUUUUUUUACUGGCCCAAACUACUCAAUUUCACAUAUGUUUGAUUUGGUUUGGUUCAAUUCAUUGGCUUUGAGGCAAAAUCGAGCUUUACCUCUUUUUUUUUUUUUCUCUUUUUUUUUCUUUAUUUAUUUAUUUAUUUAUUUAUUUAUUUUCCCUUGGCCAGUCCUAGAUUCCCGUUCAUGGUGAAAGCCUUACGGACCCAUCAUGCUAUGCUGAGAAUAAAAAAGGUCCAUGGGCCAUAUAAUUGUGGAUUAAAUAGAGGUGGAUGGAGGAAGGUGGUAGAAGAUUGUAGAAAUUUCAGUCUCCUACCUACCCAAUCCAGAAUGGGGCAAAAGAAUGUCAGAAGAGUCCGGAUAACACCAGAAUCCUGUGUUACGUCCUAUACUUACCUAUCUCCUACACAUCAGUUUCAUCAUCAGAAGAUAAUCAUUAGAGCUUGCGUCCGAAAAUUUUCUAAUUGCAUCAGCCAAUCAAUUCAAAGAUGUCGCUCAUUUCAACUGUUCUUGGUAGUGACCGCCGAAGCAACAUCUUCGAUCCCUUUUCUCUGGACAUCUGGGAUCCCUUUGAAGGAUUUCCCUUCACCACCCCUCUCGCCAACGUCCCCCCCUCACUCGCGAGGCCUCUGCCUUUGCAAACCACACAUAUGAAUACAUUUGAAUGGAAUAAAUUAUAGUUUUAAUGUUAAAUGUAUUAUCAUUUAUCUCAUUAAUUCUAUGUUAAAAAACUACUAUCACCUUACUUUUAUUUUUUUAUAUUUAUCUUCUUAAUUUUAUUUAAUUUUGAAUAUUUUUAUUUUAAAAUAUUAAAAAUAUAAAUUUAUUCAAAAAUUAGUAAAAUAUAAAAAAAGUUAUUGAAGUUGUAAUAUUUUAUAUAUUAAAAUUAAUUUGAUAAGAUACAUUUUUAAUAAUUUUAAUUAUUUGAAUAAAUUAAGAACAAUAGCAAAAAGUUGUUAUUACAAAUUUAUCAUAAAAUUUUAGAAAUUAAAUUUCAAAUAAAAUAUGUUAUAUAAAUCUUUAAAAUGAUUUAAUUUUUAUUUAAAAUAAAUAAAAUAUGUUUCAAUAAAAGUAGUUUUUAAUUUUUAAAAUAAAUGAAUAUAAAUAUAUUAAAAAAAAUUAUCUUUUGAAUUAUGUGGCUCAUAUUGAGGGAAAAAAUAUAUGAAAAAUAUUUAUUAAUUUUUUUCCCUCAAUAUGAGCCACAUAAUUCAAAAGAUAAUAUUUGUUGAAAUUUGAGAAAUUACAAAAUAAAAUAAAAUAAAAUAGUUAAAGCUAAAAAGGAAUUAAAAAAAAAAAUUGUAUUAGUAAAAUUUUUUUAUAAAGGAAACAAACCACCCAAGAAGAGAGAGAGUCAAAUUCUUUUAAUUAAGCAAUCAAAUCUUAAAAUUUUUAAUUUAAUUUCUUUAACUUCACCUAAUGGUAACUUUUUCCUAUGAAAGAUGAGAAAUAUAGCUUCACUAGAGGGAAGACGUUUCAUAACAAGGAAAAAGAAUUCACACAGACUCUUCACCACCCUCAAAAUUCAACAAAAUUAUUUAGGAACAAAUUCACAUCAUCAUUCAUUAAAUUGCGAUAAGAAUUAUAAUGAAUAUGACACGUUGCAAUUAUUUUUUUGUUGUUGUGUUGCUUAUUUUUGUACCAUUUCUAAAAUCGUCUCUUUCGCUGAAAAGAAAUGAUCACAUGUUAAGGCGAUGACAUACGUAGAGACUUAAAGUUUGUUCAAUCUUAUAAUUUUAGGGUAACAAAAAGGGGAAAUUUUUCAUGGAAAUCAGGUGCUCAACAAUCUUAUAUCCUCGAUCAAACUGUUCAAGUUACAGGAUGAGGACCCACCGUCACCCACACAUUUUUUAGCUAAUGUGGCCAAGGUAUCAGCUGCCUUCAUGAAUUCAUCCCUCUUUUCUACCAUUAAAUCUCUCACCAUCUUCUCAACGGUAACUCUAUCGCAACUGUCUUUCAUGUCCAUUCCAAGCUUCCAAACAUGGCUCACGAACCUACUGUUGAUCUGCUGGUCAGCAAAGUAGGGCCAGCAUAUCAUUGGCAGGCCCUCCACUAUACUCUCAAGCGUGGAGUUCCACCCACCGUGGGUCAGAAACCCACCCACGGCUGGGUGUUUCAGAACCUCUUCUUGGGGAGCCCAGCCCACUACGUAACCCCUAUCUUUUGUCCCUUCCAAGAGUUCUGCCGGAGUCUGACGCUCUUCAUCUUUUCCGACAAGAGCAUCUGGUCGUAUGACCCAGAGGAAGCGGUUACCGCUAUUGACCAAACCGUGCCAGAACUCUCCCAGCUCGUCCUUUGUAAUAAUAGCUAAACUACCGAAGCUUACGUAGAUGACAGAUUUCGGAGGCUGGCGGUCAAGCCACGGUAUGCAGCUUUUGUCUUCUUUCCGGAAACUGUUGGAAGACUGGGACGUGGAAGUUUCAGAUGCGAGCUUGGAUUUGAGGUGUGCGUGGAGAGGUCCAAUGGCGUAGGUUCUCGGAUAGUGAUCGCGUAUUUGAGAGAGAACCGGCCCUUCUAGAUCAUCAAACGUAUUGAUAACGAGCGAGUGGGCUCGCUGGGCCUGUCGAAAAAUUUUCAUUAGAUGUUGGAGACCUGGGUAAGCCACGUCAUUGACUCGGCCCGAACUUGGGAGGUGUCGACGUCGAAGAAAGCCUUCCAUGCCAGGCACACUGGCUACCAGCCGAUCCAUAUCACCACCUGGAGAUUAGUCAUAAUCUAGCCAGUUUGUAAUUAACCAGGGGAAAAAAAAUAAGAGAAAGAAGGGAAAAAAGAAAAAGAAACGAAGAUAAAGAGCGUUUCUAAUGGAAUCCAAAUCAGAAAGUGAACCUCUGAAAGGGACUUCGCCAGCUUCAAUGAGUUGGGGUAAAGAGAAAUAUGCCCAGAAGGAACAAGCACUGAUAGGACGGAAAAUAAUGACGGGAAGUCCGACUUCGUUGGCAACAUCAAUUGCGAAACUCAUGAGCCCAUCUGCUAUGAUACAGGUCAGAGGCGAGCGCGUAUCAGAAGCACUCCGGCACCACGAAAUCAUCAUCUCCAUAAAGAGUGGUGCGGUUGUAGUUUUUACUCCAUCAACAAUAUCCAAGAAUUGUUCAGCGGUGCGAGGAUGCUCCAUCGGCAGCCCAUCGGAUAUUGUCUCAAACCGAAAGCCGGGAUAGCGUGAGAACCUGGCCUGAAUAUUGGAAUAAGAGAGGAGGCGGCGGUGGGGAUAGUGGCAGUUGAGGAAGGUGACUUGGAUGUCGGCAAGGCAAAGAAGUUCGGCGAGCUUGAGCAUGGAGUUGAUGUUGCCUUGGAUGGGGAAUGGGAAGAUGAGGACAUGAGGAGAGAUCGACCCUUGAUCCAUCUGACUUUUAGUUGACUAUGAUCUUUGUGUGAUUUCCUGGUGGAUACAUGGUUUGUAACUUGUAAUGCAUAUAUAAUGGAUAGGCACAUUGCUGGUCUUUGUUUCUUAAGGGCCACUCAUCAUUUAGCCAUAUAUGAUGAAGGAUGGGCACACAGCUACUCUUUGUUGUAUCCUAUUGUCACUCACUGGUGGCCCCCAGCAGAUUAUUAAUAUUGUAUCAGCUAAGUUUUCUUGGCACUCUAUGUCGAUAAAGUUUUAGCCUUCGCUUACCACCGCAAACCUAUCUCCAGUCAUAUCCAUAAUGAGAUCAACAUGUUAUCGAUAAGUCUUUAGGGUUGUUGUACCCACUGGGGGCACAUACCCGCGUUUGACCCAAUAAUAAAAUGAUACGGGUAAAUUAAUUAAAGAAUUUAUAAAAACUUAUCUUUGUACCCAUUCUUCAUUUUGGGUACUACUCACAUUUGAUCGCAAUAAUAAAAUGAUUGUGCAAAGUACAUGUCAUUAAAAAAUUUAUAAAAAUUUAUCAAAUCUUGUUGAUAAGAAAUAAUCACAUGCAUCCCAUAUAUAUCUAAACAUUACAACUUUUUUUUUAUAAUUUAUUAUUAAAUAUCAAAUAUAAUUUGUUAGUUAAUGAAUUACCUAACUCUAUCUUAAAAAAGAAAAUCUUACGAACUACCCUUAUACUCUCAUUAUUAAAAAAGAAAUACUAAUUUAAUAUGAAAAUUAAAUAAUUUCAAUCACCAUAUUACAAAAUAUGAAGAUGCAUUUUGAUAAAUUAAAAUUGAAGAUCAAGUUUGAAACUUUUUGAGGAAGAAAUUUUAAAAUUUGUAUUAUAUGAAGAGGAUGAAGGAUUUCAAGUGAUUACAAGUGUCAAAGGUAAUAUUUGAUAUUUUUUUAUUUAAAUAUAAAUUUUGUAGGUAGAAAUAUGAUGUUAAAUAACGAAUAUGUAAUGAUUUAUAAAAUUUAAAUUUUAGAAUUUUUUAUGAGUUUAUUAUUAAAUUUUGUUAUUAAUAUUAUAUAUAUAUAUAUAUAUAUAUAUAUAUAUAUAUAUAUAUAUAUAUAUAUAUAUAUAUAUAUUUUGUUUAUAAAUUAAAUUUGAAGAUGAAGUUUUAUAUCUUGAAGAAGACAUUAUAUGAAGGAUAUCAAGUGAUUACAAGUGUUAAAAGGUAACAUUUGAUAUAUUUUUUUUCAUUUAAAUAUAAUUAUUGUAGGUAGAAAUGACAUGUUAAAUGACAUUUAAAUAUGUAAUGAUUUAUAACAUUUAUAUUUUUGAAUUUUGUUAUGAGUUAUUAUUAAUCAAAUUGAGACCAUUUAGUCAUUUGUUAAGAAAUUGUCAUCAAUAUUUUUUAUAUUAUUAUUUUGUGUAUUUGUAGAUUAAAUUUGAAGACAAAGUUUUAUAUAUCUUUAAGAAGAAAAACAAUGUGAGAGGGGAUACGAAAAUUGUGAGAGGAGGUACGAACAAUGUGAGAUGGGGUAUGAACUUUGUGUGAUGAGGUACGAACUUUGUGAGAUGGUGUACAAACUUUGUGAGAGAUAGUACGAAUUUUGUAAGAGUGGGUAUGAACUUUUGUGAAAGAAAGUACGAAUUUUGUGAUAAGGGGUACAAACUUUGUGAGAAAUUGUACAAAUUUUGUGAUAAUAGGUACAAACUUUAUAAGAGAUGGUACAAACUUUGUGAAAAAUAGUACAACCUUUGUGAGAAAUUGUACAAAUUUUGUGAGAAGUGGUACAAACUUUGUGAAAGAGAGUAUGAACUUUGCGAGAGAUGGUACAAAACUUUGUGAUAGAGGGUAUGAACUUUGUGAGAUGUGGUACGAACUUUGUAAGAUGAGGUACGAACUUUGUAAGAUGAGGUACGAACUUUGUGAGAUAAGGUACUAACUUCGUGAGAGAAGUACGAACUUUGUGAGAAAUGGUACAAACUUUGUGAGAGGGGGUAUGAACUUUGUGAGAGAUUGUACGAAUUUUAUAAGAGAGUAUACAAACUUUGUGAGAUGGUCUAGAUUGAACCACCUUCAUCCAAUGGCCAAGAAUGUUUUUUCGAUAGGCACUGAAGUGGUACCGUAGAAUUUUGGUAAGUCUUAAAUUACUUUUUAUCUUUUUUCAAAAGUGCUUUCGUGGACAUGACAGCGCCACUUCCAAGUAUUUUUAAUUAAAAGGGUUUUGCACUUUUUUUUUUCAUAUAAGUAUAUUUUUCUUGCAAAACUAUAUAAUUAUUCUCAGAAUAAUUAUAUUUGUAAAUUUUUUUUCCUAUAAUUUCACCUAUGUGUAAUUUGGAUUAGAUAUCCAUUUUUGUUGCAGUGUCCUUCUAUGUUUUAAUUUCUUUAAUUUUUGGAUUUCCCAAUCUUUAGAAAAACCAUCUUAACUAAUUGUCUGUAGUUCUUAAUUAAGAAUGGUUUAUAGUUAUCACUUGCACUUUAAGAGGUAACAAAUUCAAUUGCCAGCCUAUGAAACAUAAUAACCUAGCAGCCACGUUUUAAAAUUUCCAGAUUUUGAAGGUGAAAAUGAGGAUCACUUAGGAAAGAAAGAAUCAUGUUGGUAACAUGAGGGAUCAUCAAGAACCAAAUAAGCCAACUCAUUUCUAGUUAGGGAAAAAUGAAAACCAACUAUUCCUUUAUUCCACUUCAAAUACACUUACAUAAAAAAAUCGAAGGGAAAAUUUUGCAUAACAAAAACACAUGGGAGAACAUAAAUCAUUACAUCACAUCCUUUGGAUUGCCUAUACAUGUAACAUGACCAAUCCAUUAGAACAAUAAACCAUCAACAGUAGAGCAAAUUAGAAAAAUCAGACUUGUGACUUAGCUUGAAAUUUCAAUGGCCUUGACCUCGACCUUCUUCACCUCUUUCUUCGGCACUGUCACAGUCAGAACGUCAUUUUCCAUGCUAGCUUUGACCUCAUCUAUCUUGGCAUUUUCUGGCAACCUGAAUCUGUGAAGGAACUUCCCACUGCUCCUCUUGACACAAUGCCACUUGUCGUUCUUCUUCUCCUAAUCCUUACUCCUCUCUCCACUGAUUUGAAGGACUCUUCUCUCUUCAACCUCUACUUUCACUUCCUCCUUCUUCACCCUUGGAAGAUCCGCCCUGAAAACAUGAGCUUCUGGCGUCUCUUUCCAGGCAAUUCGCGUGUUGGCAAAGCCGAGGUUUCGCUUACAGUGCUGGGAAUGUUGGAAAGAGAGAUGCUAAACGGAAAGCCUUCGAAAGGAUCCCAGAGGUCUAGGGAGAAAGGAUCGAAGAUGCUGCUCCAUCGGCCACCACCCCGAACACUUGGAAUGAGCGACAUUUUCUAUGGAUGUUGAAUUGAUUUGCUUCCUUAGACACAAGCUUGUAACAAUUUCUUGAUGAUCAAACUAAUGGAGAGGACUUGCUAUAUAUCAGAAGUGAUAGAGAACUGUGGCACUUUCUCUCGACGUUUCCGAGAUAUUUCUUGUUUGGAUAGGAACGAGACAUUUCUGCAAUUUUUUACCACCUUCCAUCAUCUAUCUAUACAUUUUCAACCAGGCCUUAAUCCACAAUCUCAAGUUCAUUUCCAAACAUCCUUACCGGAAGGAGCCCUAAUGGGACUACUAGGCUUUUCAGGCCCAUCAAUUACUUUUCGUCAAUCACACGCUUCUCAUGGGCUUACUUUUGUUCUUUUUUCCAAAUGGCUGCCCCUUUUUAUUGAUUAUUUUUUAGUUAAAGCAAUGGUGAAAUCAAAUGGACUUGCAUUUAAAAUCUUGUGCGAAAGAUACCUGAGUGCAAAUAUUAAUAAUUCUUUUAUUAUUAUUUGGGAAAAUUGGGAUAAAAUAUUAUAAAAUAAAAAUAUUUCAGAAAUAGGAAUAACUUUCUAGUUUUUGAAUUUAAAAGACUAAAAUAUAUAUUAUAAAAUCGAAAUGCCAUAUAAACAAAAAAAAUUAAUAUUAUAAAAAUAAAAUAUUAUAUAAAUUUGUAUUAUGGCAAUAUGUAUUAUAUUCCAAUAGUAUUUCAAAACAUAAUAAAUUUAAAGUAUUUUCUUAAAUUUAUAUUCCACUACUGUUGAUAAAGUUUUAGCAUUUGCUUACUACCGCAAACCUAUCUCCAGUCAUUUCCAUAUUGAGGUCAACAUGUUAUCACAAGUCUUAAGUUACUUUUUAUCUGUUUUCAAAAGUGCUUUCGUGGACACGACAACACACUUUUAGUUAGAGAAAACCAACUAUUCCUUUAUUCCACUUGAAAUACGCUUACGUAACAAAAUUAAAGGGGACAUUUUGCAAAACAAAAACACAUGGGAGAACAUAAAUCAUUACAUCACAUCCUUUGGAUUGCCUAUACAUGACCAAUCUAUAAAAACAAUAAUAAGACAUAACUGUAUAGCAAAUUAGAAAAGAUCAUACUAGUGACUUAGCCUGAGAUUUCGAUGGCCUUGACCUCAACCUUCUUCACCUCUUCCUUCGGCACCGUCACAGUCAAAACGUCAUUCUCCAUGCUAACUUUGACCUUAUUUGUCUUGGCAUUUUUUGGCAACUUGAAUCUGCGAAGGAACUUCCCACUGCUCCUCUCGACACGAUGUCACUUGUCGUUCUUCUCCUCCUGUUCCUUACUCCUCUCUCCACUGAUUUGAAGGACUCUUCCCUUUUCAACCUCUACUUUCACUUCCUCCUUUUUCACCCUUGGAAGAUCCGCCCUGAAAACAUGAGCUUCUAGCGUCUCUUUCUAGUCAAUUCGCGUGUUGGCGAAGGCCAAGGUUUCACCUACGGUGUUGGGAAUGUUGGAAAGAGAGGUGCUAAACGGAAGGCGUUCGAAAGGAUCCCAGAGGUCUAAGAAGAAAGGAUCGAAGAUACUACUUCGUCGGCCACCACCCAAAACACUUGGAAUGAGCAACAUUUUCUAUGGAUGUUGAAUUGAUUUGCUUUCUUGGACGCAAACUUGUAACAAUUUCUUAAUGAUCAAACUAAUGGAGAGGACCUGCUAUAUGUUGGACGUGAUAGAGAACUGUGGCACUUUCUCGACGUUUUCGAGAUAUUUCCUGUUUGGAUAGGAACGAGACGUUUCUGCAAUCUUCUACCACUUUCCAUCAUCUACCUAUACUUUUUCAACCUGGCCUUAAUCCACAAUCUCAGGUCCAUUUCCAAAUAUCCUUACUGGCACGAGCCCAAAUGGGACUACUGGGCUUUUCAGGCCCAUCGAUUACUUUCGUCAAUCACACGCUCCUCCUGGGCUUAUUUUUGUUCUUUUUUUUAAAUGUCUGUCCUUUUUUAUUGAUCAUUUUUUAGUUAAAGAAAUGGUGAAAUCAAAUGGACUUGCAUUUAAAAUCUUGUGCAGAAAGAUACCUGAGUGUAAAUAUUAAUAAUUCUUUUAUUAUUAUUUGGAAAUUUUGGGAUAAAAUAUUAUAAAAUAAAAAUAUUUCAAAAAUAGGAAUAACUGUAACGUCCAAGUUUUUUUUAGGGGUAGUUUAGGAAAUUAUUAAUAAUAAUUAAAUUAUUUAAUUAAUUAAUUUAAUAAAAUGGAAGGGAGGUGAAAAGGUAAUUUUACGAAUAAAUACCCUAGGUAUAAAUUAGAAUUAUGUUCUUCCUAUUUUUUUCUGAAUCGCGUUCUUGUUCGUAGAGAGUUCCUAAGAAUGUAAGAUUGGAGUCGGAUUUCAAGGUUUGAAGAACAGAUUUCUAUAAGUAAGAUUCUAACCCCUAGAUUAAUAUUUUAGAUUCAUUAAUUAAUUUCAAGCACUUUAGAUAUUUUUUGGAAAACCCAAAUCUAGAUUAGGGUUAGUUUAUCAUUGUUUUUUUUAAUUCAUUUUAAUAUCAAAAUAGUGAAAAUUUAAGAUUUUGAUUUAUUGUUGGAAUUUGGGAGAUCUUAAGUUUUUUUAGAUGAAAAAAAAAGUCUUGGGAAGAUUUCGAUUUAGACUAGGGUUAAUUUAUUUUAAAAAUAAUAAUAAUAAUAAAUAAAUAUAUUGUUAAUUGUGGCUUAAAGGAUUAGAAAAAUACAAUUUGAUUUAACAAAAAAAAGAAUGCAUAUGCACCGGAAAAUAGAAGGUUGGUGGGAGAAAAAAAAAACACAUGUGCACUGGUUGCAUGUGUGUGGAAACUGUGCAUCAACUUUUUUUUUUGUAAGGAUUUCAUGGUUGAAAUCUAGUUGGUGGAUUUUCACAAACUCUAUUAUUAGACUUUGAUGGAUACUUGGGUAUGUAAUAUUUAAUAGUAGCAAGACUUCGUAUUAUUAGACUUUGAUGGGUACUUGAGUAUUGAGUACUGUAUUAUUUAAUAAUGGUAGGGCUUUGUAUUAUUAGACUUUGAUGGAUACUGUAUUAUUUAAUAAAAGAAGAUAUGUACGGAUGGUAUUGGGGUGGUUAAUAUAUAUAUUAUUAUAUUAGUAAUGAUGGAGAGUUGUUGUGUAUAGGCUAUGUUUGAUGAAAAAAAAAAACUUGAAAGUGAGAAAAUAUAAUUUCUAAAUAAAAGAAAGUAAAGUUUUUGGUAUUAUAAUUAUAUUAAUGAUGGGUGUAAGUUAAUAAAUAGUAUAAAAUUUAAUUAGUGAAAUAAAUUAAAAUUUAAUUAAAUUAUGUUGUGUCCCAAGAAAUAAAUUGAAAAUAAAAUUUAAGUUUUAUAUGAAUUAGAAAUUUAUUAAAUUUUCUAAAAUAGGAAUAUAUUAAAUUAUCUUUCAUAAUUAAAAAAAAAACAUUAAUUUGAAUACCUAAAAUUUUAGGAUUGUCAAACCUAUAAUUUUAGAUAAAUAGUAAUGGUUAUUUCUCUUACAUUUUGUUAGGUGAAGAGUAGAUUUUCAAGAUUAUUUUUCUCCAAAGUUUUUGAGGACUUCUUUUGAGGUAAGGAAAUUAAUGCAAUUAUUAUUUUUUUUAGAAACAAUUUUUUAUAUACAUCUUUUGGAAAUAUUUUGAAUUAAUAUUUGUUUUAUGCAUGGAUCAAAUAUGUUUUGUAUGAAAAGUAUGUUAGAACUUUAUAUUUUGUUUACAACAGAGAAAUGUGGAGAUAUUAUGUUAUGCAAAUUCGAAUAAUUGAAAUAAGCGUUUGACUCUGGUUUGUUUGGUUUUUGUCAACGGGAUAUAAUAGUUGACUUAUGACUUUUUGGUCCUUGUCAACGGGAUAUAAUAGUUGACCUUUAUAUUUCUUGGUGAGGAAUGUAAUUGAUUUGAACCACGGUCUCUAAGGGUUUGGUUAGAGGUUACUAAUACUAGUAGUGUUUGAUUCUGUCUACCUGAAAGAAACAAUUUGAGACUAGCCACCUAUUUGAAAAGUCUCACAUAACUAGACACUAUUUGAUGUUUGAUGACUAGAGUAAAUAAAUGAUUUAAAUGUUAUGAUUGAAUUUGAUAUGAAAAUGUUUGAAUCAGAAAUGAAAGUGUACAAUUAAAAGUUUUGAAUGUAUUGACAAAGCUGACUCAAAAGUUUAUGUAAAUAAUUAAUUAUAAUAUCUCUUAUUUUGCAAGUAAACUUGAAAUAUUUGAUUCAUGGACUGCAUUAAUGUUCCUUAUUGAGCUUUGAGCUCAUUCUUAUUUGUUGAUUACUUUUCAGGCACCCUUAGUUCGGACGAGGAGUGAUGGCUAGAUCGGGGAAUGGUCAUCAUUAGGAUUUUGCUUAGGAUGUUAUUUGGACAUUAUUAGCUUAUGAGUUUAUAUUCCUUUGAAUUAUUUGGUUUUUGGAAGCUAUUUAGAUAUUGAGCUUUUAAAUAUUUUUUUUGAUAAGUUUGAAGUUGAGAUUUGGAGAUUAUGAAAAUUUGUUAGCACUUGAUUUAUUUGAGUUUGCAAUCUAUUUGGAUAAUGGAUUUUGGUUGAUGGAUGCUUAGUCUUAAAGUUAAGUGUGAAAAUUUUAGAAUUUUGUUCUGCUAUCAAGUUACACUUUAAGCCUUCGGGUUUGAGGUGUGAAAUGACUGUCACGCCCUUGGAGUGGGUCUUGGGGCGUGACAAUAACUUUCUAGUUUUUGAAUUUAAAAGACUAAAAUAUAUAUUAUAAAAUCGAAAUGCCAUAUAAACAAAAAAUUUAAUAUUACAAAAAUAAAAUAUUAUAUAAAUUUGUAUUCUAGCAAUAUGUAUUUAUAUUCCAAUAGUAUUUCAAAACAUAAUAAAUUUAAAGUAUUUUUUUAAGGUAAAAAAAGAACCUAACAUGUGCAAAAUGCUUUAACUCGUACAUGCUCUCAUUCGAUAAAUUUAAAUUUGAUCAUAUUUUUUCAAGUACACCCAUUGUUGGGAGGGAUAAUAUUAUUUCAUGAUGUUGAUUGAUAUCUAUAAUAGGGUUAGACUAGCAAUUUUUUAUGCUACUUCAUAACAAAAGCUUGAAGUUUUUGUUUCAAUAGUAUAUAAUAAAAUCUUUAUUCAAUUUUAAUGUUAGAAAAUAAGAAGAUAAGAUGUUCUAAUAAUAAAAGUUGUAGGACGUUGAAUGUCAAGAUAUUAUUGAGCUCUUGAAGAUUAAGGAGAGUUAUACCAUACAUUAUUUAAUGGCAAAGUUUUCAGGAUACUUAAAGCUUACUAUUUUAAGUUCUAAACAUAUCAAAGAGAAAUAAUUUUGAAAACCCUAAAAAUCUAGUAUCCUUCUUCAAAAUUAUCAUAAUUUCUCCCCAUAGUUUCACUCUCUAUCCCAACUUCUCAUUUUAGGUGUACUUUUGUAAUAUUUUGCAAAUGAUUGAUGGUAAACUUCUAAAUUUCUUUCGAAUGACAUAUUUUUUCUAAUUGUGAUGAGUUGUUUAUUUAUUUGAAUGAUAAAUUAUAAAUAUUGAUGUCUUCUAUAUAUUUGUUAAUUUGACCAUCCCAUUAAAACUCAAUAUAUAUUUACUAGUUCAAACUUAACCCAAUUUUAGAAAAAUAAGAUUGAAUUGGGGUUAAGCAAAUAAACUUUAAUUAUGAGUGCGUUGAUUGAUAACUCAAACUAUUCCAGUCAAAUUAAACCCUAAACUAUAUAGUAUUGCUAACUUUACUCUAAGUCUUCAAAAUGAAAUCUAUGAUCUAUUAAAUUUUUCAAGAAAUUGAUGGAAUUUGAUUUAGAUAAGUUUGUAACUAAGCGAGAAAUUAAAUAGAGUUAAUUGAUUUUCAUUAAAUUCGGAUCUUUUUUUUUUUUUUUAAAUUUAAUAAUUACAUAAUGGAAGUGACAAUUGCAAGCAAUAAUAUAAUAAAUAUUCUAAUUUUAGAAAAUUGGGAUAAGAAAUAAUAAAAUAAAAAUAUUUAAAAAAUAAGAGUAACUUUCUAGUUCUUAAAUUAAAAAAAAAACUAUAUUUUAUUUAAUAUAAGGAGACUUGCCACUAAAAAUUACAUUAUAAAACCAAAAUAUCACAUAAGCAAAAAAUUUAAUAGUAUAAAAAUCAAAUAUUAAAUAAAUAUAUAACUUAGUGUAACUAAUUUAACUCCUGAAAUUAUUUAUAAAUAUUUUUUAUGAAAUCCUAAAAUUUAUAAUCUUUCUUUUCAUCGGUCCACUCGAUAACUUCAAUCUUUUAAAAUAUUUUCUCAUAAUUUUCAACACCAAUUUAACUUUUAUAAGAACUUUGUUUUUUUUUACUUAAUAUUUUACAGUAAAAAUAGUAUUUAUGUGUUUUAUAUAUUUUUUUAAAGAUUUUAAUCAACAUAUUCUUGCAAAUAUUCUAUUGUAUUUUGGUUUCUUUCUAUUAAAUUCAUGUUGAAAGACUGAGCUCAAAACAUAUUGAAAUGCAAAAAGUAUGAAACCACGACUGCUAAUGUUGUAAAGAUGAAUAUGACUAAACUCAUUUAGAAUUUGGCUUUUUUUAAGCCCUCAUUUUAUUUGUACUAAGUUAAAUCAACUAAUGUCGUAUUCAUGGGAUCUUCUCUAGAGUGUAUAGAAGCUCUAGGAAGCAUGAUAUCAUGUCCUACUUUAGGUUACAUCAAACUUAGAGCAAAAAUCAAGAAAUCCAUACCAUUGAGGUCAUUCAAUACAAAACACGUAAGCUCCUAAAGAGAGGCCAACUUGUUCUGAUGUCUAAGAUAGGUAAUUUGAUUUUCAUCUGUUUAAAAUAUCAAUAAUUUGUAAAUAUCAAAUUGAAAAUAUAUAUAUAUAUAUUAAUUUAAUCAAAUUUUAAGUUUUAAAAAAUUCAAAAAUUUUGGGCUAAUUGUUUUACCCAUUUUUUUGGCCCAGGCCAAAAUUUCCAUCCAUAGUGUAAGGCAGGGUCAUAGACCCAUUAGGCUAAGCUUGACAAUAAAAAGGUGGUGGGCCAAUCUGUGGAUUAAAAUGGAGGUGGAUAAGGAAGUUGGUAGAAGAUUGUAGAAAUUCCAGUCUCCUACCCACCAAAUCCAGGAUGGGGCAAAAGAAUGUCAGAAGAGUCCGGAUAACACCAGAAUCCUGUGUUACGUCCUAUAUGUACCAAUCUCCUACACAUCAGUUUCAUCAUCAGAAGAUAAUCAUUAGAGCUUGCGUCUGAAAAUUUUCUAAUUGCAUCAGCCAAUCAAUUCAAAGAUGUCGCUCAUUUCAAGUGUUCUUGGUAGUGACCGCCGAAGCAACAUCUUCGAUCCCUUUUCUCUAGAAAUCUGGGAUCCCUUUGAAGGAUUUCCCUUCACCACCCCUCUCGCCAACGUCCCCCCCUCGACUCGCGAGACCUCUGCCUUCACCAACGCACGCAUUGACUGGAAAGAGACUCCUGAAGCUCACGUCUUCAAGGCUGAUCUUCCGGGGUUGAAGAAAGAGGAGGUGAAGGUUGAGGUUGAAGAGGGCAGAGUGCUGCAAAUUAGCGGAGAAAGGAGUAAAGAGCAAGAGGAAAAGAAAGACAAGUGGCAUCGGGUGGAGAGGAGCAGCGGCAAGUUCCUUCGUCGGUUCAGGUUGCCGGAGAAUGCAAAGAUGGAUGAAGCUGAAGCUAGCCUGGAGAAUGGUGUGCUAACCGUGACUGUCCCAAAAGAAGAGGUGAAGAAGGCUGAGGUGAAGGCCAUCGAGAUCUCAGGCUAAAGUCUUUGAAUUUCAUCUAUUGUCAUCUCAAUUGAUCUAGUUUUGGUGUUUUGAGCUGUCGGUGGGUUCAUGGGAUGUUUUAUUGCUGGUAUUUGUGUAUGCAAAUGUUCCUGCCAUAAAUGGAACCCUGAUUUAAAAUAACGAGCGUUAAAAGAAUACAAAAAUCAAACUCAGAAAGACAGAAGUUAAGAAAUUUAAAACGUAAAUCUAUAAAUAUAUUAAAGCCAUGGUUUGAAAUUUCGGAUACCAUCGAUGUGCUCCACCUGCUGGUCAACACGCUCAAACCCAAAAUUGCACGUCCAGAAGGAUGGAACUAAAUCUAACCAAUCACCCGGGUAACUCGGCUGUUGCAAAUAUGUAUAUGCAGAACAUUAAUAUAUUAAAGCCAACAUAAGACACAAAAUACUAAAAAAAAUAUUUUAAUAAAUAAAUUAAUUCUAAUUAUUAUUUUAUAUUAUUUAUAUAAUAAUUAAAUAUAAAAAUAAAAAUCUUACACAUAUGAAUAAAUUUUAAAUUAAAUAAAUUAUAGUUUUAAUGUUAAAUGUACUAUCAUUUAUUUCAUUUAAUUUUAUUUUAAAAAACUGCUAUCACCUCACUUUUAUUUUUUUUAUAUUUAUCUUCUUAAUUUUGUUUAAUUUUGAAUGUUUUUAUUUUAAAAUAUAAAAAUAUAAAUUUAUUCAAAAAAUUAGUCAAAUAUAAAAAAAGUUAUUGAAGUUGUAAUAUUUUAUAAAUUAAAAUUAAUUUGAUAAGAUAAAUUUCUAAUCAUUUUAAUUAUUUGAAUAAAUUAAGAUCGAUAGCAAAAAGUUGUUAUCACAAAUUUAUCAUAAAAUUUUAGAAAUUAAAUUUCAAAUAAAAUAUGUUAUAUAAAUCUUUAAAAUGAUUUAAUUUUUAUUUAAAAUGAAAUAAAAUAUGUUUUUGAUAAAAGUAGUUUUUAAUUUUUAAAAUAAAUGAAUAUAAAUAUAUUAAACGAAUUUAUGAUAAUUUUUUAUAAAAAAAUUUAAUAAAUAUUUUUUAUAUAUUUUUUCCCUCGAGCCACAUAAUUCAAAAGAUAUUUGAGAAAUUACAAAAUAAAAUAAAAUAAAAUAGUUAAAGCUAAAAAGGAAUUAAAAAAAAAAUGUAUUAGUAAAAAAAUUUUAUAAAGGAAACAAAUCACAAGUUGCAAAAAGAAAGAGUCAAAUUCUUUUAAUUAAACAAUCAAAUCUUAAAAAUUUUAAUUUAAUUUCUUUAGCUUCACCUAAUGGUAACUUUUUGCCAUGAAAGAUGAGAAAUAUAGCUUCACCAGAGGAAAGACGUUUCAUAAUCAAGCAAAAAGAAUUCACACAGGACUACACACAAAGUCUUCACCACCCUCAAAAUUCAACAAAAUUAUUGAUUAAAUUGCGAUAAGAAUUAUAAUGAAUAUGACACGUUGCUUAUUUUUGUACCAUUUCUAAAAUCGUGCCUUUGGCUGAAAAGAAGGCGAUGACAUCCGUAGACUUAAAGUUUGUUCAAUCUUAUAAUUUUAGGGUAACAAAAAGGGGAAAUUUUUCAUGGAAAUCAGGUGCUCAACAAUCUUAUAUCCUCGAUCAAACUGUUCAAGUUACAGGAUGAGGACCCACCGUCACCCACACAUUUUUUAGCUAAUGUGGCUAAGGUAUCAGCUGCCUCCAUGAAUUCAUCCCUCUUUUCUACCAUUAAAUCUCUCACCAUCUUCUCAACGGUAACUCUAUCGCAACUGUCUUUCAUGUCCAUUCCAAGCUUCCAAACAUGGCUCACGAACCUACUGUUGAUCUGCUGGUCAGCAAAGUAGGGCCAGCAUAUCAUUGGCAGGCCCUCCACUAUACUCUCAAGCGUGGAGUUCCACCCACCGUGGGUCAGAAACCCACCCACGGCUGGGUGUUUCAGAACCUCUUCUUGGGGAGCCCAGCCCACUACGUAACCCCUAUCUUUUGUCCCUUCCAAGAGUUCUGCCGGAGUCUGACGCUCUUCAUCUUUUCCGACAAGAGCAUCUGGUCGUAUGACCCAGAGGAAGCGGCUACCGCUGUUGACCAAACCGUGCCAGAACUCUCUCAGCUCCUCCUUUGUAAUAAUUGCAAGACUACCAAAGCUUACGUAGAUAACAGAUUUUGAGGGCUGGCGGUCAAGCCACGGUAUGCAGCUUCUGUCUUCUUCCCAGAAACUGUUGGAAGACUGGGACGUGGAAGUUUCAGUUGCGAGCUUGGAUUUGAGGAGUGCGUGGAGAGGUCCAAUGGUGUAGGUUCUCGGAAAGUGAUUGCGUAUUUGAGAGAGGAUCGGCCCUUCUAGGUCAUCAAACGUGUUGAUAACUUGCGCGUGGGCUCCAUGGGUUUUUCGAAUAUUUUUCAUGGGAUUUUGGAGAUCUGGGUUAUCCACGUCUUUGACGCGGCAGCAACUUGGGAGGUCUCGACGUCGAAGAAAGCCUUCCAUGCCAGGCACACUGGCUACCAGCCGAUCCAUAUCACCACCUGGAGAUUAGUCAUAAUCUAGCCAGUUUGUAAUUAACCAGGGGAAAAAAAUAAGAGAAAGAAGGGAAAAAAGAAAAAGAAACGAAGAUAAAGAGCGUUUCUAAUGGAAUCCAAAUCAGAAAGUGAACCUCUGAAAGGGACUUCGCCAGCUUCGAUGAGUUGGGGUAAAGAGAAAUAUGCCCAGAAGGAACAAGCACUGAUAGCACGGAAAAUAAUGACGGGAAGUCCGACUUCGUUGGCAACAUCAAUUGAGAAACUCAUGAGCCCAUCUGCUAUGAUACAGGUCAGAGGCGAGCGCGUAUCAGAAGCACUCCGGCACCAUGAAAUCAUCAUCUCCAUAAAGAGUGGUGCGGUUGUAGUUUUGACUCCAUCAACAAUAUCCAAGAAUUGUUCAGCCGUGCGAGGAUGCUCCAUCGGCAGCCCAUCGGAUAUUGUCUCAAACCGAAAGCCGGGAUAGCGUGAGAACCUGGCCUGAAUAUUGGAAUAAGAGAGGAGGCGGCGGUGGGGGUAGUGGCAGUUGAGGAAGGUGACUUGGAUGCCGGCAAGGCAAAGAAGUUCGGUGAGCUUGAGCAUGGAGUUGACAUUGCCUUGGAUGGGGAAAGGGAAGAUGAGGACAUGAGGAGAGACCGACCCUUGAUCCAUCUGACUUUUAGUUGACUAUGAUCUUUGUGUGAUUUCCUGGUGGUUGCAUGGUUUGUAACUUGUAAUGCAUAUAUAGAAUGAUGGAUAGGCACUUAGGCACAUUGCUGGUCUUUGUCGUUUCCUACCAACUACUUUCUCAAGGGUCAUUCAUCAUUUAGCCAUAUAUGACGAAGGAUGGGUACACUGCUACUCUUUGUUGCAUCCUAUUGUCACUUUCUCAAGGGUCCACUGGUGGCCCCCAGCAGAUUAUUAAUAUUGUAUCAGCUAAGUUUUCUUGGCACGCUAUGUUGAUAAGUUUUAGCCUUCGCUUACGACCGCAAACCUCGCUUACGACCGCAAACCUACCUCCAGUCAUAUCCAUAUUGAGAUCAACAUGUUAUCAAUAAGUCUUAGGGUUGUUGUACCCACUGGGGGUACCUACCCACGUUUGACCCAAUAAUAAAAUGAUACGGGUAAAUUACAUGUCAUUAAAGAAAUUAUAAAAACUUAUCUUUGUACCCAUUCUUCAGUUUGGAUACUUUCCACAUUUGAUUGCAAUAAUAAAAUGGCAUGUGUAAAAUACAUAUCAUUAAAAAAUUUAUAAAAAUUUAUCAAACGGCUAAAGAGGACUAUUUGAUGAAAAAUAAUCACAUGCAUUCUAUAUAUAUAUAUCUAAAUAUUACAAUUUUUUAUAAUUUAUUAUUAAAUAUCAAAUAUAAUUUGUUAUUUAAUGAAUUACCUAACUCUAUCUAAAAAAAAUCCUAUCAACUACCCUUAUACUCUCAUUAUUCAUAUAUACAAAAAGGAAUACUAAUUUAAUACGAAAAUUAAAUAAUUUCAACUACCAUAUUACAAAUUAUGUAAGAUGCAUUUUGAUAAAUCAAAUUUGAAGAUCAAGUUUGAAACAUUUUAAGGAAGAGAUUUUAAAAUUUGUAUUAUAUGAAGAGGAUGAAGGAUUUCAAGUGAUUACAAGUGUCAAAAAUAAUAUUUGAUAUAUUUUUAUUUAAAUAUAAAUUUUGUAGGUAGAAAUAUGAUGUUAAAUAACGAAUAUGUAAUGAUUUAUAAAAUUUAAAUUUUAGAAUUUUUUAUGAGUUUAUUAUUAAAUUUUGUUAUCAAAUUAUUAUUAAUAUUUUUAUAUCUUUUUUUUUCUUUCCCUAGACUAAAUUUGAAGAUGAAGUUUUAUAUCUUGAAGAAGACAUUAUAUGAAGGAUAUUAAGUGAUUACAAGUGUUAAAAGCAAUGUUUUCAGAAUCAGACCAGUCAUUGAACCGAAAAAGUACCGGUUCACGGUUCACUGGUCGAAUCGAUGGUCGAACCAGUGACGUCAUAAAUAUGUAAUUUAUAUAUUAUUAAAAUUAAAAAUAAUUAUAAGAAUUUUAAAAUAUAUAUGAAUAUAUCAAAUUAAAUCAUAUUAAUAUUUUAAAUUUUAUUAAAUGAAAUGUGUAUAAUAUUUAAAUGUGAAUAUAUUAAAAAUGAAAAUUUUAACUAAUUUUAUAAUUUUUAAAAUAUUAUAUUAUUUUAUUUAAUAUUAUAAAAAAAUUUUAAAUCCAAUAUAUAUUAUUUUGUUUGGCAAAUCAAAUAUCAAAUCGCUUGUAGCGAGUGGUGUCAAGUUUACUUACAAACCUGAGGUCCUAGUUUCAAAUCCUCUUGGUUGAAAUUGUUAGCUUUUUUUCAUUAAUAUUAGUUUGCAAUCCCACAUCGAAAUUUGAGAGAAAUAAGGGUGCAAAGGAUGCCUAUAAAAGGUAUCCUCGUUGAAAGCCACAACACCAUCCCAUCUUGUGGGCUCAAAGAUUCAGCCCACUUAAAAUGAUUGGGUGGGUAUGGGCAUUGUCACUAAGACAUGGCCCAAUAUGCUUGCAAAAUAAUGGGCUAAUUUGAAUCGUUUGGUUCAUUUAGAACCAUUCGGUUCCAUCGGUUCACCGGUCGAGAAUGGGUAUGAACUUUGUGAGAGAGAGUACAAACUUUGUGAGAAGGAGUACGAACUUUGUGAGAAAGAGUAUAAACUUUUUGAGAAAGAGUACGAACUUUGUGAGAGAUAUUACGAACUUUGUGAGAGAUUGUAUGAAUUUUGUUAGAUGAAGUACGGACUUUGUGAGAGAUUGUAUUAAUUUUAUGAGAGAGUGUAUGGACUUUGUGAGAUGGGGUACAAACUUUGUGAGAGGGUUCGGAUUGAACCACCUUCAUCCAAUGGCCAAGAAUGUUUUUUCGGUAGGUACUGAAGUGGUACCGUAGAAUUUUGGUAAGUCUUAAAUUACUUUUUAUCUUUUUUCAAGUGCUUUCGUGGACAUGACAACCACUUCCAAGUAUUUUUAAUUAAAAGGGUUUUUGCGUUUUUUUUCAUAUAAGUAUAUUUUCUGGUGAAACUAUAUAAUUAUUCUCAGAAUAAUUAUAAUUGUAAAUUUUUUUCCCAUAAUUUCACCUAUGUGUAAUUUGGAUUAGAUAUCCAUUUUUGUUGCAGUGUCCUUCCAUGUUUUAAUUUCUUUAAUUUUUGGAUUUCCCAAUCUUUAGAAAAAGCCAUCUUAACUAAUUGUCUGCAGUUCUUAAUUAAGAAUGGUUUAUAGUUAUCACUUGCACUUUAAGAGGUAACAAAUUCAAUUGCUAGCCUGUGAAACAUAAUAACCCAGCAACCAUGUUUUAAAAUUUCCAAAUUCUAAAGGUGAAAAUGGGGAUCACUCAGGAAAGAAAGAAUCAUGUUGAUAACAAGAGGGAUCAUCAAGAACCAAAUAAGCUAACUCAUUUCUAGUUAGGGAAAAGUGAAAACCAACUAUUCCUUUAUUCCACUUGAAAUACACUUACAUAACAAAAUUAAAGGAGAAAUUUUGCAAAACAAAAACACAUGGGAGAACAUAAAUCAUUACAUCACACUUUUAGAUUGCCUAUACAUGUAACAUGACCAAUCCAUCAGAACAAUAAACCAUCAACAGUAGAGCAAAUUAAAAAAGAUCAGACCUAUGACUUAGCCUGAAAUUUUGAUGGUCUGGACCUCGGCCUUCUUCACCUCUUCCUUCGGCACCGUCACAGUUAGCACGCCACUCUCCAUGCUAGCUUUGACCUCAUUUGUCUUGGCAUUUUCUAGCAACCUGAAUCUGCGAAGGAAUUUCCCACUUCUUCUCUCGAUGCGAUGUCACUUGUCGUUCUUCUCCUCCUGAUCCUUACUCCUCUCUCCACUGAUUUGAAAUACUCUUCCCUCUUCAACCUCUACUUUCACUUCCUCCUUCUUCACCCCUGGAAGAUCCACCCUGAAAACAUGAGCUUCUGGAGUCUCUUUCCAGUCAAUUCGCGUGUUGGCGAAGGCCGAGGUUUCGCCUAUAGUGCUGGGAAUGUUGGAAAGAGAGGUGCUAAACGGAAAGCCUUCGAAAUGAUCCUAGAGGUCUAGGGAAAAGGGAUCAAAUAUGCUACUCCGUCGACCACCACCCUGAACACUUGGAAUAAACGAAAUUUUCUAUGGAUGUUGAAUUGAUUUGCUUUCUUGGACGCAAGCUUGUAACGAUUUCUUGAUGAUGAAACUAAUAGAGAGGAUUUGCUAUAUAUUGGACGUGAUAGAGAACUGUGGCACUUUCCUGUUUGGAUAGGAACGAGACAUUUCUGCAAUCUUCUACCACCUUCCAUCAUCUACCUAUACUUUUUUCAACCAGGCCUUAAUCCACAAUCUAAGGUCCAUUUCCAAACAUCCUUACCGACACGAGCCCUAAUGGGACUACUGGGCUUUUCAGACCCAUCGAUUACUUUUCGUCAAUCACACGCUCGGCUUACUUUUGUUCUUUUUUUCAAAUGUCUGCCACUUUUUAUUGAUUAUUUUUUUAGUUGAAGAAAUGGUGAAAUCAAAUGGACUUGCAUUUAAAAUCUUGUGCGAAAGAUACUUGAGUGCAAAUAUUAAUAAUUCUUUUAUUAUUAUUUGGGAAAAUUGGGAUAAAAUAUUAUAAAAUAAAAAUAUUUCAAAAAUAGGAAUAACUUUCUAGUUUUUAAAUCUAAAAGACUAAAAUAUAUAUUAUAAAAUCAAAAUGCCAUAUAAACAAAAAAUUUAAUAUUAUAAAAAUAAAAUAUUAUAUAAAUUUGUAUUAUAGCUAUUUUAUUUGUAUUUCAAUAGUAUUUCAAGACAUAAUAAAUUUAAAGUAUUUUCUUAAGGUAAAGAAAGAACCUAGUAUGUGCGAAGCGCUUUAACUCGUACAUACUCUCAUUCGAUAAAAUUAGAUUUGAUCAUAUUUUUCUAAGUACACCCAUUAUUGGGAGGGAUAAUAUUAUUUGAGGAAGUUGAUUGAUAUCUCUAAUAGGAUUAGACUAACAAUUUUGUAUGCUACUUCAUAACAAAACCUUAAAGUUUUUGUUUCAAUAGUAUAUAAUAAAAUCUUUAUUCAAUUUUAAUGUGAGAAAAUAAGAAGAUAAGAUGUUCUAAUAAUAAAAGUUGUAGGACAUUAAAUGUCAAGAUAUUAUUGACCUCUUGAAGAUUAAGAAGAGUUAUACCGUACAUUAUUUAAUGACAAAGUUUAAGGAUACUUAAAGCUUACUAUUUUAAGCUUCUAAACAUAUCAAAGAGAAAUAAUUUCGAGAACCCUAAAAAUCUAUUACCCUACAAGUCUCACUCUUUAUCUCAACUUCUCAUUUUAGGUGUACUUUUGUAAUAUUGUGCAAAUGCUUGAUGGUAAACUUCUAAAUUUCUUUCCAAUGACAUAUUAGAUAAGUUAUUUUUUCUAAUUGUGAUGAGUUGUUUAUUCAUUUGAAUGAUAAAUUAUAAAUACAGAUGUCUUCUAUAUAUUUGUUAAUUUGACCAACCCGUUAAAACUCAAUAUAUAUUUACUAACUCAAACUUAACCCAAUUUUAGAAAAAUAAGAUUGAAUUGGGGUUAAACAAAUAAACUUUAAUUAUGAGUGAGUUGAUUGAUAACUCAAACUAAUCCAGUCAAAUUAAACCCUAAAUAAUAUAAUAUUACUAACUUUAUUCUAAGUCUUCAAAAUGAAAUCUAUGAUCUAUUAAAUUUUUCGAGAAAUUGGUGGAACUUGAUUUAGUUAAGUUUGUAACUAAGCAAGAAAUUAAAUAGAGUUAAUUGAUUUUCAUUAAAUUUGGAUCUUUUUUUUUUUUUUUUUGAUUGGCUUAAACAACUCAAUUUCACAUGUAUAUUAUUUGGUUUGGUUCAAUUCAUUGGCUUUGAGACAAAAUUGAGCUUUUAUAUUUUCUUUCCACAUUUGGCAUUAAAGUGAUCAAUAUUACCAUAUUAUGCCCAAGAAUAAUAAUAUUAUGUUAUAAUUCUAAUUAUAUCAAUAUAAGGUAACACCUUAAAAAGAUGUGAAGGGUGAUGAUCAUUUUUUAUAAAUUUAAUAAUUAUAUAAUGGAAGUGACAAUUGCAAGUAAUAAUAUAAUAAAUAUUAUUAUUUGAGAAAAUUGGGAUAAGAAAUAAUAAAAUUAAAAUAUUUCAAAAAUAAGAGUAGCUUUCUAGUUCUUAAAUUAAAAAAAAAAAAAACUAUACCUUAUUUAAUAUAAGAAGACUUGUCACUAAAAAUUACAUUAUAAAAUCAAAAUAUCACAUAAGCAAAAAAUUUAAUACUAUAAAAAUAAAAUAUUAUAUAAAUAUAUAACUUAGUGUAACUAAUUUAACUCUUGAAAUUAUUUAUAAAUAUUUUUUAUGAAAUCCUAAAAUUUAUAAUCUUUCUUUUCAUCGGUCCACCCAACAACUUCAAUCUUUUAAAAUAUUUUCUCAUAAUUUUCAAUACCAAUUUAACUUUUAUAAGAACUUUGUUUUUUUUUUUUUUACUUGAUAUUUUACAUUAAAAUUAGUAUUUUAUGUGUUUUAAAUUUUUUUAGAUUUUAAUCAAUAUAUUCUUGCCAUUAUUCUAUUGUAUUUUGGUUUCUUUCUAUUAAAUUCAUGUUGAAAGACUGAGCUCAAAAUAUAUUGAAAUGCAAAAAGUGUGAAACCACAACAGCUAAUAUUGUAAAGAUGAAUAUGACUAAACCCAUUUAGAAUUUGGCUUUUUUUAAGCCCUCAUUUUAUUUGUACUAAGUUAAAUCAACUAAUGUUGUAUUGAUGGGAUUUCCUCUAGAGUGUAUAGAAGCUCUAGGAAGCAUGAUACCAUGUCCUGCUUUAGGUUACAUCAAACUUAGAGCAAAAAUCAAGAAAUCCAUACCAUUGAGGUCAUUCAAUACUAAACACAUAAGCUCCUAAAGAGAGGCCAACUUGUUAUGAUGUCUAAAAUAGGUAAUUCGAUUUUCAUCCGUUUAAAAUAUCAACAAUUUGUAAAUAUCAAAUUGAAAUUUCUUUCCAUCAAUAUAAGCCACAUACUACAACAUAUUCAAAAUAUAAUAUGCAUGGUAAUUUGAAAAAUUACAAAAUAAAACUAAAUUAAAUAGUUAAAGCUAAAAGGGAAUUAAAAAAAAAUUCUUGUAUUAGUAACAAAUUUUUAUAAAGGAAACAAAUCACAAGUUGCAAAAAGAAAGAGUCAAAUUCUUUUAAUUAAGCAAUCAAAUCUUAAAAUUUUUAAUUUAAUUUUUUAAACUUCACCUAACGGUAACUUUUUGCCAUGAAAGAUGAGAAAUAUAGCUUCACCAGGGGAAAGACGUUUUGAUAACAAGGAAAAAGAAUUCACACAGACUCUUCACCACCCUCAAAAUUCAACAAAAUUAUUUAGGAACAAACUCACAUCAUCAUCAUUCAUUAAAUUGCGAUAAGAAUUAUAAUAAAUAUGACACGUUACAAUUUUUUUGUUGUUGUGUUGCUUAUUUUUGUACCAUUUCUAUAAUCGUCUCUUUCGCUGAAAAGAAAUGAUCACACUGUUAAGGCGAGGACUUUUCACAAUAGUACGGUAAUUUUAAAAAAUUAUUCUUAAAUUAUUGUAGUAUAAGAAGUUAUUCUAAAUAUAUGUUAGUUUUUGCUACGUAAGAGAGAGGUGAACAAAUAAAUUUUUUUUAACCAAAAUCGUCUUUUAAAAAGACGAUUUUAUUUCCAUUUAAAAAAAAAUUCAAAAGGGAAAUUGUCUCUUGAAGAGACGAUUUCCCUUUAAUUUUUUUUUAAAUUAAUAUUAUAAAAAAAAUUUUAAACUCCCAAAUUAAAAGAAAAAAUUAAUAUUACAAAAAAAUUGGAAACUAAUUUAAAAAAAAAUUCAAAGGGAAAUUGUCUCUUGAAGAGAUGAUUUCCCUUUUAAAAAAAUUUUUAAAAUUAAUAUUAUAAAAAAUAAUAUUUUUUUUUUAAGAAAAUCCCAAAUUAAAAGAAAAAAUGAAUAUUACAAAAAAAAUUGGGAACUAAUUUUAAAAAAAAUAAUUUUUAAAUUAAUAUUAUAAACAAUAAUUUUUUUUAAAAAAAAUCCCAAAUUAAAAGAAAAAAAUUAAUAUUACAAAAAAAUUGGAAAAUAAAUUCAUUAUUUUGAAUAAUUUUUUUAAACGAUUUAUAAUGAAAUUAUUAUUAAAUAAUGUGAGUUAUAUUUCAAAUUUAAUUGCAGAUUAUAUGGGAGUCAUAUACUGAUGAUGUCAUCUCUGCACUCCUAAAUUACUGUACUAUUGCUUCUGACUUGUGGUUGACUAUUUCACCCCUUAUUUGGUUCCUCAUAAUGGAGUGGCAUAGACCUCAUCGUGUUUUGAGGCAAUUUGGGCUAGUACAACAUAUUCCCGAGCAAUGCGAUACAGAAUUGGGCUUACAUAGAUAUGAUUUGAGGGAUCGACAUGAUUUUGAUUGGAUGAGUAUUCAUCACCACUAUAUUCAAAGGUAGGAGGCUAGGUACGAUUAUCUUGCUAGAGUUGAGGCAGCAUAUACUUCGUACGAGUAUAACCACCCAUUUAUGGUGUGGCAUCGUUCGAUCACUUGCCUUUUUCUGAUUCCACAUGGAUCUUCAUGGGAGAUAGUGGUAAUUACAAUGUCUUUUUAUUUAUUACUAUUUUUUUUCCUUAUUACAAAAACAUCUAACUUUUUAUUCUUAAUUCUUACAGAACCGUAGUUUUCAACAAAUACAUUUAUGGACUGCUCCAAAUACACCAAAUAUCGGUCAUCGUGAUGCAAUUCAUCAAUUAUGUGCAACCACUUUAGAGGUUAUACACGAGGCUGAUCGGUUAGUUAUUCCCCCUAAUGUCGUUGAUACGGAAAGACAAUCAUCGGAUGAGGAGGUUAGGAUAAGAUAUGGUGGGGUGCGGACUAAGGGUGGUGGGGUCCGGAGUAGAGGUGGUGGAGUACGGACUAGAUGUUCAGAGAUCCACGAGGCCGAUGAGUUUCUUAUUCCCCCUAAUGUCGUUGAUGCGGAGAGACAAUCAUCAAAUGAGGAGGUUGGGAUGACAGAUAUUGGGGUACGGACCAAAGGUCGUGGGGUGCGGACUAGAGGUCGUGGGGUACAUCCUACAGGUAGUGGUGUACAUACUAGAAGUGAAGGUGUUCGCACUAGAGGUGGAGGUGUACGAACACAUGGAGGCCAUAUUUAUGAUGAUCUACACUUCCAUAGCGAUGAUGCAUCUGUACAUUUUCCACCAUCAACUCUACAACAUUCUUCCUUCAAUUUUUCUACACCACUUGACCAGUCACUGCCUUAUUCAUCAGCUCCAUCCAUUGCUGAGGGAGUGAUAUAGGAAGAUGUUGGGACAUCAUUCAUGCAGGAAAUAUUGCAUUCUUAUAUUGAUGGACUUUCUUUUCAUAUACCUAUGUUGUCUAGUAUUGAUGUAUCAUUUACUCCACCUACAGCACCACUCAUUGCUUUGUCACCACAAUCAUUAGGACAUCCAUUUAGAGAUGAUGUGGCGACACAAAUGCAAUACUUUCCGUCACCACUUGUUGAACAACAGCGAGAAGCACAGGUGUAAGAUGAAGGACAUGGACGAAGAAAAGGUCGAGGACGAGGACAAAGACGAGAAAAUGGAGCAACAUUAGAUGGUCCCUCAGAUCAAUCCGAGUUGGAAAGAUGUCACCAACGGCCACAACGAAGAAGGAAGCCUCCUUCAUGUGGCACACAUUGAUGACUUUUAUAUCUUUUAUCGAACAUAAAUUGAUGAUACAUGUUUUUUUGUUGCUUCUUCAUUUAUUUGUAUUGAUGAUGCAUACUAACUUUUAUUGGUUGUUAGUUUAUUAAUGACGUAUGUUAAUUUAUCAUCUACUACUAUUGAAGUUGUCAUAUAGUAAUAUUGAAUUUUAAUAUUUUAGUUUUGCUGGUAUUCAUGGUUGAUAUUUUGUUAGUUGUUACAAUAUUUGUUGAGUUAUUAGUUUAUAUAUAUGAACUACAUAUUAGUUUUUUUUAUUCAUAAUAGUAGUUGUUUUUUUAUCAUUGAUUAUUUGAAUACGUUUGAUUGUUUAGGGAUUGAACAUAUUAAUACAAGUUAUGAGUUGAUAUAUGUAUAUAUUUUCUUUGUUCAUGGUUCAUAUGAAUAAGGUUAUUAGUUUUUUUGCAUUCACGAUAAUAAUUGCAUUUCUAUCAUGGUUGAUAUUAUAUUAUUUAUUGGGCUAUUUGUUGAUUUUUUAACAUUUACAUAAAUAAUGUUAUUGGUUUUUUAUAAAAUAUUAUUUUAUUUUAAUUUAUUUUUUUUACAUUUAAAUGUUCAUUUUAUAGUGAAAUUUGAAAUAAUAUUUUUUAUUUAAAAAUUUAUAUAAUAAAAUUAAUUUAAAAAUUAUAACAAAAUAAGAUGAUUUAUUUAUAAAUAAUUAUUUAAUAAAUUAAUAACAAUUUUUUUUUUAUAAAAUCAUUUUUCACAUAAACAAAAAAAUAGAUAAAUAUUAUUUAUCUUAUAAAUAAAAACCAAUAUGAAACUAAAUUAAUUUUAUUAGUUGUAAUUAAUUAAAAUAAUUUAAAGAAAAAUUGAAGAUUAAGAACAAUUAACAUUAUUUAACGUACAUUUUUUUAAUAUUUUAUUCAUUUUAUUGUGAAAUUUGAACUUAAAGAUUAAUAUUUUUCAUCUUAAAAUUUAGACAAUAAAAUUAAUUUAAAAAUUAAAAUAAAACAAAAUUAUUUAUUUUGUAAUUAAUUAUUUAAUAAAUUAAUAAAAAAAAUUAUUUUUUUAGACUCAUUUAUUCACAUAAAUUGAUAAUAGUUUUUUUUUUAAUUGCAAAGUGCAAAAAAAAUAAUAAUAAUAGAUAAAUAUUAUUUAUCUUAUAUUAAAUAUUAUUUAUCAUUUCCAAUUGGGAAAUUUUUCUUUUUUAAGGGAAUUCUCUUUCGGAUUUUUUUUAAUUUAUUUAUUUUUUAUUUUGCAAAUCAUUUCCCAUUUUUUGGGAUUUUUUAUUUUUAUUUUUAAUGGGAAAUCGUCUCUUCCCUUUGGGAUUUUUUUAAAUGAAAAAAAAAUUUGGAAAAUCAUAUCCAAUUGGGAUUUUUUUUUUUUUUUAAGGGAAUUCCUUUUCGGAUUUUUAUUUUUUAUUUUUAUUUUGGCAAAUCACGAUUUCCCUUUGGGAUUUUUUUAAAUUUUUUUUAAAAAAAAUUGGGAAAUCAUAUCCAAUUGGGAAUUUUUUUUUUUAAAGAGAAUUCCCUUUUGGAUUUUUAUUUUUUAUUUUUUAUUUUUAUUUUGGAAAAUCAUUUCCAAUUUUUUGGGAUUUUUUUAAAUUAAAAAAAAAAAUUGGGAAAUCAUAUCCAAUUUUUUGGGAUUUUUUUUUAAUGAGAAAUUAUCUCUUCAAGAGAUGAUUCUCUUUGGGAUUUUUUUAAAUUUAAAAAAAAAAAAAAAAGUUUGGGAAAUCAUAUCCAAUUGGGAUUUUUUUUUUUAAGGGAAUUCCCUUUUGGAUUUUUAUUUUUUAUUUUUUAUUUUUAUUUUGGCAAAUCAUUUCCAAUUUUUUGGGAUUUUUUUUAAAUUAAAAAAAAUUUUGGGAAAUCAUAUCCAAUUGGGAUUUUUUUUUUUUUUUUUUUUUUAAGGGAAUUCUCUUUUGGAGUUUUUUUUUUUUUUUUGGCAAAUCAUUUCCAAUUUUUUGGGAUUUUUUUUAAUGGGAAAUUGUCUCUUCAAGAGACAAUUUCCCUUUGGGAUUUUUCUAAAUUGUAAUUUUUUUUUUUUUGGAAAUCAUAUCAAAUUGGGAAUUUUAUUUAUUUUAUUUAUUUUUUAUUUUUAAGGUAAUUCCCUUUCGGAUUUAUUUUUUAUUUUUUAUUUUUAUUUUGGAAAAUCAUUUCCAAUUUUUUGGGAUUUUUUUUUAAUGGGAAAUCAUCUCUUCAAGAGACGAUUUCCUUUUAUAAAUAAUUGUAUGAGUAUAUUUAAUUUUUUAAUUUUAAAAUCCACUUUUAAUAUAUUUUUAUAUAAAAUUGUAUUAUUUCUUUUUAUAAUAUAUAUAAUUAAUGGUACCAAUUCCAAUUAAAAUUUGAAAUUUCCUGCUUCAUUUAAAUAAUUUCAUGAGUUUAUUACAAGACAUUUGAAUGACAUUAUAUGGAAAUAACUCAAUGUUCAUAUUUAAUGUUAAAAAAAAACUUUCAUUUAAAUAAUUAAAUUUUGAACUAGAACUUACAAUAUCAUUGAGCGGUUGUGUUAGAAGACUCCCCUCUGUUAGGACAUUUUCGCUGAUUGUGACCCUCUUGUUUACAAAGCCCACAUCGCACUUUAACACUUGGUUCUCUCCAAUCCAUUUCAUUCCUAAUCCUUGAAGAUCUUGGUCUUCCUUUAUCAUGUACUAGAGUUGGAUUAGGAUAAACAAUUGGAAAAUUAGGCUCUGGCCAAUAAGCUUGAUGUGGAAUUGGAUUGAAUUAAGGUGUAUAGCAACAAGCAUUUACAUCCAUCCUAUAAUGUUUGUCAACAAAUUGCCAACUAUCAAUCCUUGCACGUGCACAUACAACCAACACAUGUGAACAUGGUAUACCAAAUGAUUGCCAUUUAUUACAAGUACAUGUUCUUUUUUUCAAUUUCACAAUUUGUAUAUUGUUUCCUUUAUCCAUAUGAAACCCAUGGGGAGAAGUUGUAACUUCAAAUAUCUCAUUUGAACGGUGAAAAAUAUUAGCAGUGUGUCCACUAGCCCUUGAUUGAUAUUUUGUUAUUUUGUUAAUGACAUAGGAAGUAUACAAAUCUCCAUUUGCCAUUUGAGUUUGUAUCUCUGUUCGACGAGUCUCGAAAUAUGAAACACAACGAUAGAAAGUUAAUCAAACAAGAGUAGUGAUAGGCAACAUUCUAGCCCCUUUGAGCACUCCAUUUAUGCAUUCAACAAUAUUUGUAGUCAUCCACCCAUACCGAUGUCCUCCAUCAUGUGCCAAAGUCCAUUUCUUUGUGUCCAACCUGUUAAACCAUUCUAAGCAUUUCUUAUCUAAUCGUUUUAACUCAGUCAUACAUGCCUCAUACUUUCGUGGUUGAUGUUAAGACCCUGCUCUAUACACUAAGUUUUUUAACAUCUUAUUUCUAUAUUUAUCAUUGAAAUUGCUUGCCACAUGCCUAAGACAAUAUCGAUGGUGUGCAUAAGGCGAGCUCCAACCAACACUAGGAUCCCUAAUGGUGGCUUGUAUUCCUGCAUGAUGAUCUGAAAUGAGACAUAUGCCUUCUCUUUGUGUGACUUGAGUCCUUAAUGUAUAAAGAAACCAAGACCAAUUAUCUGAUGAUUCAUCUUCAACUAUUGCAAAUGCUAGAGGGAAGAUAUGACCAUUAGCAUCGAUUGAUGUUGCAAUCAAAAGUUUCCCUAUAUAUUUUUCAUAUAAAAAAGUACCAUCUAUUUGUAUUAUUGGUCUACAAUGCUUAAAUCCUUCAACACAUGCCCCAAAAGCCCAGAACACACACAUAAAACAUUCAUUUCCAUUGCAACCUGCUAGUAAUGAUGUCUUCCAAACAACCUUAGUCCUAGGGUUAGUAAGUUUAAUAAUAUUCAUCCACCUAGGUAAAGUUUGGUAAGAUUCAUCCCAAUCACCAAAUAUCCUUAUCAUUGCUUUCCUCUUUGCUUCCUAAAUCCUCUUAUAAUGAACAUUAUAACCAAAUUUAUCUUUCACUAUUUGAUGUAAUGCAGCAAUUGAAAUUGUGUGAUCACUUUGGACUACAUUUUGAACUUCUUGUGCAAUGAAGGUUGAGCCUAAUUGUGAGUGGUCUUGUGAUAGUUUAGGGUAGAUACAAGUGUGAGGACCUAUGUACUUUGUUAUCUCAAACAAACCAUGACAUUUACGACGACAUGCACGAAGCCUCCAAUUACAACCCUCAAACCAUUUUUUACACUUUAUAGCCUAAAUAUCUGGCUCGGAUUCAAUAACAAUCAAAUGUUGAUUCCUACAUAUAGAAUAACGUUUAACAACAUAUUGUAAGUCUACCUUACUCUCAAACCGCAAACCCUUAAACAAUUCAUCUGAUUCAUUCCAUAAGCCAGUGUGUGCUAUUAAAUCCUUGUCAGCGAUGGAGUUAAUUACAUCCCAAUUCAAUUCUCUAAAUAUUGGGGAAGGGACAUCAUGUUCACCACCACCUAGUAAUGAUGCAUCAUUUUCUGUAUUUUCAUUAUCCUCCAUGUCCAUAAUAUCCUCAUUACUAUCAUCUUCAUCAAAUAACUCCACAUUGUCAUCAUCAUUUCCAGGUAAAAUAUCAACAUAAUUUCCAACUGUCAUUACAAUUGACUCAGUAACCCUUGCCAUAUCUAUCCUAACUAUAGGUUCUAUGUCAUUAUCAUAACUUUGCAUAUACAUACGGAAAGAUCUGUUAUUUUCUACCAUAUGUUGACUUGGACCUAGACUUUCAAUAUGCAAUGGGGUAGUAAAGCUACUAAGCACGGAGUGAUAAUCAAUGGAAGAAGUUUGACAAUACAUUUCAAUAGUAUUUGGAGGAGGAGAUUGUGUGACAACGGUAAACAUUAUCCUUACAUCACCAUCAUCUCGAAUAGGCAAAGGGACAUAAUUAACAGUAUCAUUUCCAUUUGGAAAGGGAACUAGAUAUCAGAACACCAUAUUUAACUUGGUGUAAAUACGAUUAAUAUUCAAAGCAUGACACAAUUUUUCUUAUAACUCAUCAAAUGUUAUCAUACUAUUGAUUAAAACACCUUUAUCAGGAGGACGAUUAUAACUUACCCAAAUUCACAAUCAAUAAUUUCACCCCUAGUAUAGCACAACACCGUGGUGUAACCAUCCAUUAUCAAACCUAUUCAAAAGAUCAACAAAAAAGUAUCAUCAUCAAAAAACUUUAUGAUAAUAAAUAAUAUAUAUUUUGCAAAUCUAUUUUACUAAUAUUAUGGUGCAUUGUCCAUUACAAUAUAUUUCUUUUCUUUUUUAAAAAUGAAUAUUUAAAUGUAUAUAAUAUAACAUUUUAAAUGUGCAUUUACAUAUUAUAUAAGAUAAGACCAACUCUUGGACAAUGUUUUACUUAUAUUUCUUAUAUUUUUAUAUUUUUUUUAAUUAAUAUUAUAUGCAAAAAAAUAAUUUAAUACUAACAACCAUUACUAAAUCUAUUUAUUUUCUUUUAUUAUAUAUUCUAACAUUUUACUAUUAUCUAUUUCUUUUCUUUUUUAAAAUAGAUAUGAAAUGUAUAUAAUAUUUGAAUAUUUGAAUAUAUAUAUAUAAUAUGGUUACUAUUUUAUAUUAUACACAAUUAUUUUAUAUAUAUAUAUAUAUAUAUAUAUAUAUAUAUAUAUAUAUAUAUAUAUAUUAAAAUAUCCAAUUAAAUAAAUCAAAUAAUAUUUUAAAUUUAUUUCUACUUUAAUUUGUUUUUAAUUUUUAGCUCUCAAUUUCUUACAAGAAUUUUUUCAAUAAUUUAAGUCUAAUGUUAAUUUUUAUAAAAUAUAGAAUACAAAUUCAAAAUUUCGAAUAAUGUUCUACUUAUAUUUCUUAUAUUUUAAUAUAUAUAUAUAUAUAUAUAUAUAUAUAUAUAAUAAUGUAUGCAAAAAAAUAAUUUCAAAAUAAUUUCACACUAAUAAUAUUAUAUAUUAUAACAUUUUACAAUUAUAUAUUUCUUUUCUUUGUUAAAAUGGACAUUUAAAUGUAUAUAAUAUUUUAAUAUUUUAAUAUUUAAAUAUAUAUUAUAUACCUUUAAUACUCACGCUUACUAUGUUAUAUAAUAGAAAAUUACUUUUAUAUAUAUAUAUAUAUAUAUAUAUAUAUAUAUAUAUAUAUUAUACAUUAAAAUAUCCAUUUAAAUAAAUCAAACAAUAUUUUAGUUUUAUUUCUACUUUUAUUUAUUUUUAUUUUUUAGCUCUCAAUAUCUUACAAGAAUUAUUUCAAUAAUUUAAGACUAAUAUUAAUUUUUUUACAAUAUAGAAGAUAAAUUCAUAAUUUAGGAUAAUGUUCUACUUAAAUUUCUUAUAUUUUAAUAUUUCUUAAAUAAUAUUAAAUGCAAAAAAAAUAAUUUAACACUAACCACCAUUACUAAAUUUAUUUAUUUUAUUUUAUUAUAUAUUCUAACAUUUUACAAUUAUAUAUUUCUUUUUUUUUAUUUUUUAAAAUGGAUAUUUAAAUGUAUAUAAUAUUUUAAUAUUAAAAUAUAUAUUAGAUACAUUUAAUAGUCACGGUUACUAUUUUAUAUUUGUGUUAAAUUACUUUAUAUAUAAUAAAUCAAAUAACAUUUUGGUUUUAUUUUUCCUUUUAUUUAUAUUUUUAUUUUUAUUUUUACAUCUCAUUGUUUUACAACAAUUUUGUCAAUUAUUUAACACUAUUAUUAAUUUUAAAAAUAUAUAAGAUCAAUUCAUAAUUUUGGAUAAUGUUGUAUUUGUAUUUUUUAAAUUUUAAUAUUUUUUAAAAUCAUAUAUUAUGCAAAAUAUAUAGAAAUAUAAUUAUUCUAUUAUUAUUAUUUUUCAUCCUCAUUUUAUCAAUAUUUUAUUUUAUUUUUAAAUUUUAAUUUUAAUAUUUUAUUGAUAAACAUAAGCAAUAAUCCUAUUAUUUAAUAUUAAUUAAAUAAACUAAUAUCAUUUUUAUUUUUUUUAAUGAUUUAAUUCAUUUAUCUAAUUUACAACAAAUAAUAUUCUAACAAAAUUAUCAUAAAUCAAAUAAAUUUAAAAAAAAAAAUACAUGUAACAACAAAUAUCUAUCAUGCAUUACACAAUAAAUAUGAAAUAAAGACAAAAAUAUUACCUACCAAUAAAAACUGAUAUAAUAAUAAAAACUAUAGAUCAUAAAAUAAAAUAAAGCAAAAAUAUUAUCUUAUGAGAUAUGCUCAAAGUCUACCAAAGAUGGAAGGUGAAAAACUGAGAAGUGAAAAUUUGAGUUUCAAGUGGGAAGAGGGGGAAAAUGUAAGUGAAUAAGUUUGAAGGUGAAAAUUAUAAAGAAAAAGUUUGAAAGUGAAAAUGAGAAUAAAGAAGGUAAUUUAUAGUGUAUGAGAAGUUGUAAAAAGGUAUGAUGAGUGGUUAAAGUUUGAGUUUCAAAUGGAAUUGGUAGAGUGUAACGGUAUGAUGCCAAACGUUUUUCUUCAAAAUAGCAAACGGGCUAGCUAUGAUAGCAAACGGGUCAGCUAUGAUAGCAAACGGUCUUGUUCAAAAUAGCAAACGGGCUAGCUAUGGGCUAGCUAUUGGGGAAUGUUUUUUUUUCUUUUUAUUUUUGCCAAAUGGUACGAUUUCACAUUAAAUAAAGAAUAAAUAUUUUUUUAAGAGAAAUCGUCUCUUAAAAGACAAUUUCACUUAAAUUUUUUUUCAUGAAUUUUUUUUUUAAUUUGGGAUUUUUUUUAAUUUAUUUUUAAAAAAUGUUAACUUUUUUUUAAAGGGAAAUAGUCUCUUCAAGAGACGAUUUCCCUUUGGGAUUUUUUUUUUAUUUGGGAUUUUUUAAAAAAAUUAUUUUUUGUAAUAUUAAAUUUUUUUAAUGGGAAAUCGUCUCAAAAGAUUUACAUUAGGGAAUUUUUUUUUUAAUUUGGGAUUUUCUUAAUUUUUUUUAAAAAAAAUAUUUUUUUUAAUGGGAAAUCGUCUCUUGUUUUUUUUUAAUUUUUUUUUAAAUAUUAUUUUUUAUUAAUGGGAAAUCGUCUCUUCAAGAGACGAUUUCCUUGAAAUUUUUUUAAAAAAAUUAGUUUCCAAUUUUUUUUGUAAUAUUAAUUUUUUCUUUUAAUUUGGGAAUUUUUUUAAAAUUAAUUUUAUAAUAUUAAUUAAAAAAAAAUUAAGGAAAAUCAUCUAUUCAAGAGACGAUUUCCCUUUUAAAUUUUUAUUUAUUUUUUAAAUUGGAAAAUCGUCUCUUGAAGAGACGAUUUCCUUUGAAUUUUUUUUUCUCGUUUAUAAUUUUUUUGUAAUAUUAAUUUUUUCUUUUAAUUUGGGAUUUUUUUAAAUUAUUUUUUAUAAUAUUAAUUUAAAUUUUUUUAAAUUAGUUUCCAAUUUUUUUCUUUUAAUUUGGGAUUUUUUAAAAAAUAUAUAUUUUUUAUAAUAUUAAUUUUUUUUUUAAAAAUGAGGGAAAUCGUCUCUUGAAGAGACAAUUUCCCUUUGAUUUUUUUUUAAAAAAAAAUUAGUUUCCAAUUUUUUUCUUUUAAUUUGGGAUUUUUUAAAAAAAAAAAUUAUUUUUUAUAAUAUUAAUUUAAAAAAAAAAUUUAAGGGAAAUGUCUCUUGAAGAGACCAUUUUCCUUUGAAUUUUUUUUAAAAAAAUUAGUUUCCAAUUUUUUUGUAAUAUUAAUUUUUUCUUUUAAUUUGGGAUUUUUUAAAAUUAUUUUUUAUAAUAUUAAUUUAAUUUUUUUUAAUUAGUUUCCAAUUUUUUUCUUUUAAUUUGAUUUUUAAAAAAUAUUUUUUAUAAUAUUAAUUUUAAAAAAUAAUUUUAAGGGAAAUCGUCUCUUGAAUAGAAAAAAAAAAUUGGAAACUAAUUUAAAAAAAAAAAUCAAAGGGAAAUCGUAUCUUGAAGAGACGAUUUCCCUUUUGAAUUUUUUUUUUUUAAAUGGAAAUAAAAUCGUCUUUUUAAAAUACGAUUUUGGUUUUAAAAAAAAAUAUAUCCAUUCAUUUCUCUCCUACAUGACAAAUUGGAAUAACUUCUUCUACUACAAUAAUUUAAGAAUAAUUUUUUUAAAUUACCAUACUAAGAGUCCGUGCAAUAGCAUCAGUAGAGACUUAAAGUUUGUUCAAUCUUAUAAUUUUAGGGUAACAAAAAGGGGAAAUUUUUCAUGGAAAUCAGGUGCUCAACAAUCGUAUAUCCUCGAUCAAACUGUUCAAGUUACAGGAUGAGGACCCACUGUCACCCACACAUUUUUUAGCUAAUGUGGCUAAGGUAUCAGCUGCCUCCAUGAAUUCAUCCCUCUUUUCUACCAUUAAAUCUCUCACCAUCUUCUCAACGGUAACUCUAUCGCAACUGUCUUUCAUGUCCAUUCCAAGCUUCCAAACAUGGCUCACGAACCUACUGUUGAUCUGCUGGUCAGCAAAGUAGGGCCAGCAUAUCAUUGGCAGGCCCUCCACUAUACUCUCAAGCGUGGAGUUCCACCCACCGUGGGUCAGAAACCCACCCACGGCUGGGUGUUUCAGAACCUCUUCUUGGGGAGCCCAGCCCACUACAUAACCCCUAUCUUUUGUCCCUUCCAAGAGUUCUGCCGGAGUCUGACGCUCUUCAUCUUUUCCGACAAGAGCAUCUGGUCGUAUGACCCAGAGGAAGCGGCUACCGCUGUUGACCAAACCGUGCCAGAACUCUCUCAGCUCCUCCUUUGUAAUAAUUGCAAGACUACCAAAGCUUACGUAGAUAACAGAUUUUGAGGGCUGGCGGUCAAGCCACGGUAUGCAGCUUCUGUCUUCUUCCCAGAAACUGUUGGAAGACUGGGACGUGGAAGUUUCAGUUGCGAGCUUGGUUUUGAGGAGUGCGUGGAGAGGUCCAAUGGUGUAGGUUCUCGGACAGUGAUUGCGUAUUUGAGAGAGAAUCGGCCCUUCUAGGUCAUCAAACGUGUUGAUAACGAGCGCGUGGGCUCGAUGGGUUUGUCGAGUAUUUUUCAUGAGAUUUUGGAGAUCUGGGUCAUCCACGUCUUUGAGCAGCAGCAACUUGGGAGGUCUCGACGUCGAAGAAAGCCUUCCAUGCCAGGCACACUGGCUACCAGCCGAUCCAUAUCACCACCUGGAGAUUAGUCUAGCCAGUUUGUAAUUAACCAGGGGAAAAAAAAAAGAGAAAGAAGGGAAAAAAAAAAAAACAGAAACGAAGAUAAAGAGCGUUUCUAAUGGAAUCCAAAUCAGAAAGUGAACCUCUGAAAGGGACUUCGCCAGCUUCAAUGAGUUGGGGUAAAGAGAAAUAUGCCCAGAAGGAACAAGCACUGAUAGCACGGAAAAUAAUGACGGGAAGUCCGACUUCGUUGGCAACAUCAAUUGCGAAACUCAUGAGCCCAUCUGCUAUGACACAGGUCAGAGGCGAGCGCGUAUCAGAAGCACUCCGGCACCACGAAAUCAUCAUCUUCAUAAAAAGUGGUUUGGUUGUAGUUUUCACUCCAUCAACUAUAUCCAAGAAUUGUUCAGCGGUGCGAGGAUGCUCCAUCGGCAGCCCAUCGG